rnacentral:lncRNA from 1 species
UUGCUUCUGUUCUUCAUUUAUCAUUUAGUUUUCUUUCUGUUCAUCAUUUUGAUUCAUAAAAACUCAUAAAAAUAACUCUCUUUUGUUUCAGGAACCAGAUCGGCCAUCUCCCUCUCCAUCGCGUCCGUCUAGCCGCUCCAUAGCCGUCCGUCUGUCCUGUCCAGUCCGAGUUCUUGAACCUCAGUCCGUCCAUUUGAGUAGCCUGAAUCCCAGCCUGUAACAUUUGGUAUCAGAGCCGAAAG